UACGGGGGGGGCAAGCGUUGUUCGGAAUUACUGGGCGUAAAGGGCUCGUAGGCGGCCAACUAAGUCGGACGUGAAAUCCCCAGGCUCAACCUGGGAACUGCGUCCGAUACUGGAUGGCUUGAAUCCGGGAGAGGGAUGCAGAAUUCCAGGUGUAGCGGUGAAAUGCGUAGAUAUCUGGAGGAACACCGGUGGCGAAGGCGGCAUCCUGGGCCGGUAUUGACGCUGAGGAGCGAAAGCCAGGGGAGCAAACGGG
rnacentral:rRNA from 1 species